AUUGAGGGGAAUGUUGUCUGGCUCGACUUCAUCCGGAUUUGGGUUCCAAUGUUCGGAUGCCGUCGGACCAGGCUUCAUUCCCCCCAAU
rnacentral:pre_miRNA from 1 species